GGUGUAUUCAAUGCAAAUGCGCAUCUACUAUUGGUGUAUUCAAUGCAGAGGGUGUUAGAUGCAAUAUAGACUGCGCAUCUACUAUUGGUGUAUUCAAUGCAGAGGGUGUUAGAUGCAAUAUAGAAUGCGCAUCUACUAUUGGUGUAUUCAAUGCAGAGGGUGUUAGAUGCAAUAUAGAAUGCGCAUCUACUAUUGGUGUAUUCAAUGCAGAGGGUGUUAGAUGCAAUAUAGAAUGCGCAUCUACUAUUGGUGUAUUCAAUGCAGAGGGUGUUAGAUGCAAUAUAGAAUGCGCAUCUACUAUUGGUGUAUUCAAUGCAGAGGGUGUUAGAUGCAAUAUAGAAUGCGCAUCUACUAUUGGUGUAUUCAAUGCAGAGGUGUUAGAUGCAAUAUAGAAUGCGCAUCUACUAUUGGUGUAUUCAAUGCAGAGGUGUUAGAUGCAAUAUAGAAUGCGAAUCUACUAUUGGUGUAUUCAAUGCAGAGGUGUUACAUGCAAUAUAGAAUGCGUGUCUAUUGUUGGUGUAUUGCAGAGGGUGUUAGAUGCAAUAUAGAAAGUGCGUCUAUUGUUGGUGUAUUGCAGAGGGUGUUAGAUGCAAUAUAGAAUGUGCGUCUAUUGUUGGUGUAUUGCAGAGGGUGUUAGAUGCAAUAUAGAAUGUGCGUCUAUUGUUGGUGUAUUGCAGAGGGUGUUAGAUGCAAUAUAGAAUGUGCGUCUAUUGUUGGUGUAUUGCAGAGGGUGUUAGAUGCAAUAUAGAAUGUGCGUCUAUUGUUGGUGUAUUGCAAUGGGUGUUAGAUGCAAUAUAGAAUGUGCGUCUAUUGUUGGUGUAUUGCAGAGGGUGUUAGAUGCAAUAUAGAAUGCGCAUCUACUAUUGGUGUAUUCAAUGCAGAGGGUGUUAGAUGCAAUAUAGAAUGUGCGUCUAUUGUUGGUGUAUUGCAGAGGGUGUUAGAUGCAAUAUAGAAUGUGCGUCUAUUGUUGGUGUAUUGCAGAGGGUGUUAGAUGCAAUAUAGAAUGUGCGUCUAUUGUUGGUGUAUUGCAGAGGGUGUUAGAUGCAAUAUAGACUGCGCAUCUACUAUUGGUGUAUUCAAUGCAGAGGUGUUAGAUGCAAUAUAGAAUGCGCAUCUAUUAUUGGUGUAUUCAAUGCAGAGGGUGUUAGAUGCAAUAUAGAAUGUGCGUCUAUUGUUGGUGUAUUGCAGAGGGUGUUAGAUGCAAUACAGAAUGCGCAUCUAUUAUUGGUGUAUUCAAUGCAGAGGGUGUUAGAUGCAAUAUAGAAUGUGCGUCUAUUGUUGGUGUAUUGCAGAGGGUGUUAGAUGCAAUAUAGAAUGUGCGUCUAUUGUUGGUGUAUUGCAGAGGGUGUUAGAUGCAAUAUAGAAUGUGCGUCUAUUGUUGGUGUAUUGCAAAGGGUGAUAGUCGAAAGGCCCAUUUGUAUGGUCAGUGGAGAGGAGUUUCAUUCACAGCACACCAAUUGGAUCGUUUCGGGAACGCAUCCACGGGGACCUUCAGUGUGAAAUAUGUAUUUUUACAGAUACAUCAUAUACAUGUUAUUUUUGAGAUAUAUUGUGAACGUUUAAUAUCUACCUAUAUAUGCCUUAGAUUUGACAGUGAUGCAUACAAUAUGUUUUUUACUGUAUAUUAUUCGUACUUCCAAAACAAAAAUAUCGGAUAUGAUAAUUUAUGCAAAAUGCCAGGGGUUCUUUAAGUAUGCAAAUAUUUGGAUGCAAAACACGUGCCCCGUUUUUCUUACAGUCAUAGCACAAAAUACCUGAGUCAGUUUCAGAGCAGUUAUAUAACGUAUCUGUGUCUCCUUUAGCCACACAAAACUUGUUUAAAUUACGUUGUCAAUUACACCUGAGUCAGUUUCAGAGCAGUUAUAUCACGUACCUUUGUCUCCUUUUACGACAUCAAACAUGUUUAAAUUACGUUGAUUUGUUUUCCGUGUUUCCGUGUACGUUAUUUUGAAUGAAUUGAAUUUCAGAUUGUUUACACAUAUCCAUGUAAUAAUCUUAUUUAGAUAUAUACAUAACUGUACAUAUUUUUUAUAAUAAAACAGCUGGUUUUA